UGCUGCUGGGUGGCGGGACUGAGCGCAGGGUGGCAGGGGUGAGCGCUGGCUGGCUUCGCUGUAGGUCUGACAACUCUCAUUAGGGAAGCGACAAGAAUUUGGACACCUCACCGCAGAUACCAGAUCAGAUAACCUCAGGGGCAGGGGCUGGUGGGCGCUGCUGCCGCGUCUCACAACUGUCGAGUUGAGGAGAGGAGGAGGAGGAGGAGGAGGUGUAGGCGUAGUUGCCACGUGCUUCCUGGCCGAAGGCGGAUGUUCCCCACCGUUCGAGCCUCCUUCACGGGUCUCAAGUCGGAGCAGCGCUACGCAGUCCUCCUUGACAUUGUUCCCGUCGAUAACAAACGUUACAGGUACGCGUACCACCGGUCCUCGUGGCUGGUGGCAGGAAAGGCCGACCCACCGCCGCCCUAUAGGCUCUACGCUCACCCAGACUCUCCCUACACCGGCGACCAACUCAAGAAGCAGAUCGUCUCCUUCGAGAAAGUCAAACUCACCAACAACGAGAUGGACAA